rnacentral:rRNA from 1 species
UACGGGGGGGGCGAGCGUUGUUCGGAAUUAUUGGGCGUAAAGAGCUCGUAGGCGGCUUGUCACGUCGGCUGUGAAAGCCCGGGGCUUAACCCCGGGUCGGCAGUGGAUACGGGCAGGCUAGAGGUAGGUAGGGGAGAAUGGAAUUCCCGGUGUAGCGGUGAAAUGCGCAGAUAUCGGGAGGAACACCGGUGGCGAAGGCGGUUCUCUGGGCCUUACCUGACGCUGAGGAGCGAAAGCGUGGGGAGCGAACAGG